AUUGGGAACUGGCUGCUGAUGGAAUUGCUGUGCAAUUUUAAAACACAAUAUGGAUAAUGUGGCUGAAGUAGUGACUUAAAAUCGAAUGACGAACGUGUUGCAAAAAAUUACAUCGAUCAGGCGGGCAAAAAUGAGCGGGAUAGGGAUGUACAAUGCCGCAGAUAGUAUCGAUAAGGUCUUGUCGAUAUGUGUUGUUCCGCGGAGCUGCAUCGUCUGUCACACGUGUCUUCAAAGUCGCCCAAAUUGUUUCCAAAACUGCAUAUCCAGAGGGGUGUGACACGCAGUACUUACGACGUCUGCUCGUGCCCCAAGCAUCUGAUGCUACUGGAGGACAAGCAGAACUACGGCGUGUAUCCGGGCAGAUAAUUUGAAGUGGCCGGAGUAGUGACAUGAGCAACGACAAGCAGAACUACGGCGUGUAUCAGGCCAGAUAAUUUUAAGUGUCGGGAGUAGUGACAUGAGCAACGACUGUAUAUCCGCCUUCUGACUGCCCGGAGGAUCAGUUCUGCUGACAGUCAGCCGAGGGCAGCGACAAGGUACCACCUGCAACAAAUGUGAUAAUAUCCACGAUGAGGCCGACUGCUGCAAGCGCCCAAGAGACUUUCAGUGUCCCAUCAACAAGGCGCCGCAUGGCCCUGCAAACCGAGGCAAUGAAUCGAGCUCUAAUGGCUCCAUCGAAGAAAUUAAAUAAGGCAUUUUUCAAAGGCAGUUAGCGGAAGCGAUGGUGGAUAAAGGUGGGCUGAGAGGACUGCAUUUGUUGAUCUAUCUUCUUAGCCUUUUCCACCAUUUCGUGCAAAUCGUAUACGCCAAGACCUAUUAAAAAGAAAGGAUUUUAAUCCUUGUAGGAACGGCGUUGCAGUAGCUCACGAACUAAAGGAUAAUUUCCAGAGCAUCUUUAUAACGGCACUUCACAGAAAACCAGGGCUGGGCUAGUCGCGCUAUCAUCUUUACAUUAUAACGGCACUUUACCGAAAACCAGGGCUGGGCUUGUCGGGCUAUAUCGAUAUACAAUGGUAUAUUUAGUCAAUUUCAUCAAGUUAUUAAAUUUCAUUUUCAAAGGUAUAUAGAAAUCCAAUAAAAGCAAGUUGUUACAAUAACCCA